CCCUGGCCCCUGAGCCCUGCCCCUCUUGCGCGGUGGCCAGGUAGGUUGCCCGAGGCAGAUGCACGAUUCCAAGUCACUUUGGCAGUUUUUAAUGUGGAGAAGGCUCUUUCUGCAGAGGGAACGUUGCGGAGCUGCUGGGAGUGUCUCAUAGGCUGUGGCGACCUGGGAAGCUGCUCUGCGGAGCCACCGGAGGCGCAGAUUUCAGCACAUCGAGAGCAGAUGAGCGGCUAGUCCCAAAACUGUCCGCGCUUCAGACAGAUGACUUUCGCAGAAGUUUGAGUGUGCUUGUAGAUGCAAAUCUAUCGUGAUUAUGUUUCCUCGGACGUUUCCUGUGCUUGUGGAGCUCAUAGGAGAGACUGAAGGUGAAUUCACGAUUGCACACAACUUACAACAUCUGUUUGUGGAUUCCAUCAGUGUAUCUUCAACUGUAAGAAAAAUUAAUUUCAAAACUUCUGCAUUAAUACCUGGAUACUCCAACAUCUUAUAGGAAAAUUGUGCUUGUUUCUGUCCAAUGCAGUGGCCCUUGCUUCAGGGUUUGUGGAUUUUGCUGAGAAUUUCGAGAUUGUCAGAAAGAGAUUCUAAGCUGGAGUAAUUCUAACAGCUUCCUGGUUAUGUUACUGGGAUAAGGCUGUGUCUGCUCCUCCCAUGCUCAGUUACUGAUACAGUUACUGCCUGAGCACCGGGACCUCCACUCCUGGAAGGAUCUGUGCAGAGGCUGCAGGCACUGGUGGCAAAACAGACACACCUCCGGCACCCAGGGGCCUCGUGCUGCCACCGGAGGAGGAUCCCCUCUCCUUCCUGGGGCUCCAACCCCUGCUGCUGCUUCUGCUGCCAUGUGACACCCAGGCA
rnacentral:lncRNA from 1 species